CCUACGGGAGGCAGCAGUGGGGAAUAUUGGGCAAUGGGCGCAAGCCUGACCCAGCAACGCCGCGUGAAGGAAGAAGGCUUUCGGGUUGUAAACUUCUUUUCUGCGGGACGAAGAAAGUGACGGUACCUCAGGAAUAAGCCACGGCUCACUACGUGCCAGCAGCCGCGGUAAUACGUAGGUGGCAAGCGUUAUACGGAUUGAUUGGGUGAAAAGGGCGUGUAGGCGGGAAAGCAAGUCAGAUGUGAAAACUCAGGGCUCAACCCUGAGCCUGCAUUUGAAACUGUUUUUCUUGAGUGCUGGAGAGGCAAUCGGAAUUCCGUGUGUAGCGGGGAAAUGCGUAGAUAUACGGAGGAACACCAGUGGCGAAGGCGGAUUGCUGGACAGUAACUGACGCUGAGGCGCGAAAGCGUGGGGAGCAAACAGGAUUAGAUACCCUGGUAGUC
rnacentral:rRNA from 1 species